rnacentral:rRNA from 1 species
CUAUACUGCAAGUCGAGCGGACUUUUAAAGCUUGCUUUUGAAAGGUCAGCGGCGGACGGGUGAGUAACACGUGGGCAACCUGCCUGUAAGACUGGGAUAACUUCGGGAAACCGGAGCUAAUACCGGAUAAUAUAAGGAACCUCCUGGUUCUUUAUUGAAAGAUGGUUUCGGCUAUCACUUACAGAUGGGCCCGCGGCGCAUUAGCUAGUUGGUGAGGUAAUGGCUCACCAAGGCGACGAUGCGUAGCCGACCUGAGAGGGUGAUCGGCCACACUGGGACUGAGACACGGCCCAGACUCCUACGGGAGGCAGCAGUAGGGAAUCUUCCACAAUGGACGAAAGUCUGAUGGAGCAACGCCGCGUGAGCGAUGAAGGCCUUCGGGUCGUAAAGCUCUGUUGUUAGGGAAGAACAAGUGCGAGAGUAACUGCUCGCACCUUGACGGUACCUAACCAGAAAGCCACGGCUAACUACGUGCCAGCAGCCGCGGUAAUACGUAGGUGGCAAGCGUUGUCCGGAAUUAUUGGGCGUAAAGCGCGCGCAGGUGGUCCUUUAAGUCUGAUGUGAAAGCCCACGGCUCAACCGUGGAGGGUCAUUGGAAA